UACGUAGGCGGAAAAUUAAGUCAGUAGUGAAAUCCUGCAGCUUAACUGUAGAACUGUUAUUGAUACUGGUUUUCUUGAAUAUAGUUGAGGUAGGCGGAAUGUGUAAUGUAGCGGUGAAAUGCUUAGAUAUUACACAGAACACCGAUUGCGAAGGCAGCUUACUAAGCUAUGAUUGACGCUGAGGUACGAAAGCGUGGGGAGCGAACAGGAUUAUAUACCCUGGUAGUCC
rnacentral:rRNA from 1 species